AUUGAACGCUGGCGGCAGGCCUAACACAUGCAAGUCGAGCGGAUGAAGGGAGCUUGCUCCUGGAUUCAGCGGCGGACGGGUGAGUAAUGCCUAGGAAUCUGCCUGGUAGUGGGGGAUAACGUCCGGAAACGGGCGCUAAUACCGCAUACGUCCUGAGGGAGAAAGUGGGGGAUCUUCGGACCUCACGCUAUCAGAUGAGCCUAGGUCGGAUUAGCUAGUUGGUGGGGUAAAGGCCUACCAAGGCGACGAUCCGUAACUGGUCUGAGAGGAUGAUCAGUCACACUGGAACUGAGACACGGUCCAGACUCCUACGGGAGGCAGCAGUGGGGAAUAUUGGACAAUGGGCGGAAGCCUGAUCCAGCCAUGCCGCGUGGGUGAAGAAGGUCUUCGGAUUGUAAAGCACUUUAAGUUGGGAGGAAGGGCAGUAAGUUAAUACCUUGCUGUUUUGACGUUACCAACAGAAUAAGCACCGGCUAACUUCGUG
rnacentral:rRNA from 1 species